GAUGAACGCUGGCGGCGUGCCUAAUACAUGCAAGUCGAGCGAACAGACGAGGAGCUUGCUCCUUUGACGUUAGCGGCGGACGGGUGAGUAACACGUGGAUAACCUACCUAUAAGACUGGGAUAACUUCGGGAAACCGGAGCUAAUACCGGAUAAUAUAUUGAACCGCAUGGUUCAAUAGUGAAAGACGGUUUUGCUGUCACUUAUAGAUGGAUCCGCGCCGCAUUAGCUAGUUGGUAAGGUAACGGCUUACCAAGGCGACGAUGCGUAGCCGACCUGAGAGGGUGAUCGGCCACACUGGAACUGAGACACGGUCCAGACUCCUACGGGAGGCAGCAGUAGGGAAUCUUCCGCAAUGGGCGAAAGCCUGACGGAGCAACGCCGCGUGAGUGAUGAAGGUCUUCGGAUCGUAAAACUCUGUUAUUAGGGAAGAACAAAUGUGUAAGUAACUAUGCACGUCUUGACGGUACCUAAUCAGAAAGCCACGGCUAACUACGUG
rnacentral:rRNA from 1 species